GAUUUCUGCUGGUCCCUCUUGGACAUUCAUUCUGGGAGCCUUUUGUUCCCAUGCACAAAGCCCAGCUACCCUGAGGUUGCUCUGCAGAGAGACAAUGGAUAGAAAACAGAGAGUGUUACGUCUGAGGAUCCCCAACUAUUCUAGAUCCCAGAUGUUUGAGUUGUUUCAGACCAGGCACCAAACAUGUGAAUAAAGCCUUUGAGAUGCCCUCAGCCCCAGCCAUCAAUGACGAAAACUGCAUGAGAGACUCCAAACAAGGAUUGACUAGCUAAGCCCAGGCAACUCUCAGGUAAAAUAACUGCUCUGGAAAAGAAGGCAAGAAAGUAAAACAAGGCAAUUUCACCACAGCCAUCAUCAGGAACUCAGGGGCAAUUUGACUUAAAGCAGCUUGAAAUUUUAAAAGAAAAACAGAAAAUGCAAUCUGUUUUCUCAUUUGGUCUGUUUCCUCUUUAAACAAGCACACUCUAACUCUCUAAAGAUUUCCCCCUAAAAAGAAAACACAUUGCUCAGCUUGACCUAUAAUUUAAAUCACAAUUAAGCUUCCAGUUAGAAUGUAUCUUCAUCAUAAAUCUACUAUAAAUCCCCCAGUGUUCUGUUAAAUUGCCUUAGCCUCUUAAACAGCAGGACCCCAGUUUUAUU
rnacentral:lncRNA from 10 species